AUAGAGUCCUGUGAUGUGAACCAUCUAUAGGUCUCUCAGCCAUGGAUACCAGCACCUGUUCCAGUGGAGGUGGCAGGGGGUGAAAUGGACUCUGUGAGUGUUCUUAGCUUUGGUGAUUUAAUGCACUAAUUUUAUGCUGGUUGGUCUCCUAUCAGGAAGUGGCGCUUUCCAGAGAGCACCGGCUGUGGUAAUAUGAAGAGGAACUGGUGGUGGGCAGGGCCCUAGAAAUCCCAAGAUUAUAUGCCCUUUGUCUUCAGCUACCAGGGUGGAUAGGGGAAGGCCCAUGAGGUGGAGGCAGGGCUAGGCGUGUCUGAGCUCAGACUUUCCUUGGGUGGGUCUUGCUGUGGCUGCUGUGGGAGAUGGGGAUAAGGUUCCCAGGCCAAUGGAGUUGUGUAUCUAGGUGGAUUAUGACUGCCUCUGCUGAGUCAUGCAGGUUGUCAGGGAAGUGGGGGAAACCUGGCAGUCAUAGGCCUCACCCAGCUCCCACGUAAACUAAAGAGCCAGUCUCACUCCCACCAUGCCCCCCGCUCCAACAGCUCGGAGUUUGUUUCCAGGCGGUAGGCAAGCCAGGCUUGAGAACUUGCCCCAGGCUACCCGCCUAGGUUCUUCCCCCACCUGUGAAGACUGCACACUGGAUUCGUGCACUCCUCUGAGUUCUGAUGAGAGGACAGGAGAAGAGAGGUUAUAUGGUUAUGUGUCCAAAAUCAUGGCCUGUGUGGUUUUGAUCCUGUCAUCAUGUUGCUAACUGGUUAUUACAGAAAACCAAAUACCACAUGUUCUCCCUUAUAUUUGGAAGCUAAACAGUGAGAACACAUGGACCCAAAGAAAGGAACAACAGACACUGGGGCCUACCUGAGGGUGAAGGGUGGGAGGGGACUGAAAAACUACCUAUUGGGUACUAUGCUUAUUACCAGAGUGACAAAAUAAUUUGUACACCAAACCCCCCUGACAUGCAAUUUACCUAUGUAACAAACCUGCAUGUGUACCCCGAACCUAAAAUCAAAGUUAAAAAAAUAAAAAUAAAUGAAAUCAUGGCCUGAACAACUCUGAAGCCCACCAUUGCCACUCUUUACCACUGGCCUCUUUUGAAAGGCUCACAAUAUCGAGUUACCCUAAACAGCCAAGCCUGAUAGUUCUCUGGCUUUUACAUUCAUUUUCUGGCAGGUUUCUAAAGUUAUACAAGUCUAGGAUUGUAAUGUUAGGCCCUCGAAAGCAGGUGUAUGUGAGAGCCUACUCUAUCAUGGUGUGGUAUAAGGGGGAGGAGGUUGGAGGGAUUCAUAUGAAUUCUGAGGGAAAGUAGGGAGGUUUUAGGCUGGAGGAAUAGUGUGAGCUUAAGAGAAGUACUGUUCACAAUGGGAAGUAUAGAAAGAUGAAACAAAGCCACACCUACCUACUUGUUUUGCCUUAAGCAUAACUGCAACUUAAACAGUCUACUUUCUAAUGGAAACUGGUUGGUACUACAAUAGUACACUUUAAUUGUAGUGAAAUACAGCAUUUUCUACACUAACUUAAAAUUUUCAAAGACACAUAAUUUAACGUAACACCAAACAGGUAAAAACUAAUUUAGGAGAAACCUAAAUUAUUAAGACAUAAUGAAUUCAUAGAUAUAGGUGUAGAUAAUACAGCUAUAACAAUAGCUAUGUAUAACAUAUAUGUAGCUGUAAGAUAUAGAUAACAUCAUGAGCUACGUAGAUAUCAGUUGCAUAGUGGAAUGAGGAGAGCCAGCACACCCUGAUUGAAAUUCUGACUCUUUUACUUUCUAAUAUUUGACUUUAGGUAAAUCAUAUCAUUCCACCAAGCCUCAGUUUUCAUGAUUGUAAAGUGUAAAUAUAAAUUCCUAUCUGAAAGAGUUUAAUUAAAAAUAUAGAUAGAUGUAAGAACAUAGUUCAGUAUCUAUUAUCUUUGUAACAUUCAAUAUCUGACAAAUAAUAUUAUUACUGUAAAUUUACCAGCCUUCCACUGAGCAAGGUGCCAUCAACCUUAAUGAAAGUAAGCGUAUAAAAUAAAAUAUUUGCAACAUUUCCCUUUACCUGUCUCAUAAACAUACAUAAUCCC
rnacentral:lncRNA from 10 species